rnacentral:rRNA from 1 species
UACCAGCACCCCGAGUGGUCGGGACGUUUUAUUGGGCCUAAAGCAUCCGUAGCCGGUUCUACGAGUCUUCCGUUAAAUCCAACUGCUUAACAGGUGGGCUGCGGAAGAUACUAUAGAGCUAGGAGGCGGGAGAGGCAAGCGGUACUCGAUGGGUAAGGGGUAAAAUCCGUUGAUCCAUUGAAGACCACCAGUGGCGAAGGCGGCUUGCCAGAACGCGCUCGACGGUGAGGGAUGAAAGCUGGGGGAGCAACCGG